rnacentral:misc_RNA from 1 species
AAGUCGUAACAAGGUUUCCGUAGGUGAACCUGCGGAAGGAUCAUUAUCAAAACAGCGGACUUCGGUCCUUGCUGCACCCUUGUCUUUUGCGUACCGUAUGUUUCCUCGGCGGGCUUGCCUGCCGGUUGGACAUUAUCAAACCUUUUUGUAGUUGCAAUCAGCGUCAGAAAACAAAUAAUAAUUACAACUUUCAACAACGGAUCUCUUGGUUCUG